UACGUAGGGUGCAAGCGUUGUCCGGAAUUAUUGGGCGUAAAGAGCUCGUAGGCGGUCUGUCGCGUCUGGUGUGAAAAUCCAGGGCUUAACCCUGGACCUGCAUCGGGUACGGGCAGACUAGAGUGCGGUAGGGGAGAUCGGAAUUCCUGGUGUAGCGGUGAAAUGCGCAGAUAUCAGGAGGAACACCGGUGCGAAGGCGGAUCUCUGGGCCGUAACUGACGCUGGAGGAGCGAAGCAUGGGAGCGAACAGGA
rnacentral:rRNA from 1 species